rnacentral:misc_RNA from 1 species
GAUGAAGAACGUAGCGAGAUGCGAUAAGUAAUGUGAAUUGCAGAAUUCAGUGAAUCAUCGAAUCUUUGAACGCAUCUUGCGCUCCUUGGUAUUCUGAGGAGCAUGCCUGUUUGAGUGUCAUUAAAUUCUCAACUACACUGACUUUGAAUUGGUGUGGCUUGGAUUUGGGGGGAAAAUUGUUGUGGGCUUUUUGUAUAGUCUGCUCCCCUGAAAUUGAUUAGCGGUACCUUUGUGGAACUGUCUACAGGUGUGAUAAUUAUCUACAUCUUAGACAUCUGCUGGAAUGCUGCUUUCUAAACCUUACUUGUAUUGACAAUCUUGACCUCAAAUCAGGUAGGACUACCCGCUGAACUUAAGCAUAUCAAUAAGCGGAGGA